rnacentral:rRNA from 1 species
CUACGGGUGGCACCAGUGGGGAAUAUUGCACAAUGGGCGCAAGCCUGAUGCAGCCAUGCCGCGUGUAUGAAGAAGGCCUUCGGGUUGUAAAGUACUUUCAGCGGGGAGGAAGGGAGUAAAGUUAAUACCUUUGCUCAUUGACGUUACCCGCAGAAGAAGCACCGGCUAACGUGCCAGCAGCCGCGGUAAUACGGAGGGUGCAAGCGUUAAUCGGAAUUACUGGGCGUAAAGCGCACGCAGGCGGUUUGUUAAGUCAGAUGUGAAAUCCCCGGGCUCAACCUGGGAACUGCAUCUGAUACUGGCAAGCUUGAGUCUCGUAGAGGGGGGUAGAAUUCCAGGUGUAGCGGUGAAAUGCGUAGAGAUCUGGAGGAAUACCGGUGGCGAAGGCGGCCCCCUGGACGAAGACUGACGCUCAGGUGCGAAAGCGUGGGGAGCAAACAGGAUUAGAUACCCCCGUAGUC